AACGAACGCUGGCGGCAGGCCUAACACAUGCAAGUCGAGCGGUAAGGCCCUUUCGGGGGUACACGAGCGGCGAACGGGUGAGUAACACGUGGGUGACCUGCCCUCAGCUCUGGGAUAAGCCCGGGAAACUGGGUCUAAUACCGGAUAUGACUUCAUGACGCAUGUUGUGGAGUGGAAAGCCUUGUGCGGCUGAGGAUGGGCCCGCGGCCUAUCAGCUUGUUGGUGGGGUGAUGGCCUACCAAGGCGACGACGGGUAGCCGGCCUGAGAGGGCGACCGGCCACACUGGGACUGAGAUACGGCCCAGACUCCUACGGGAGGCAGCAGUGGGGAAUCUUGCGCAAUGGGCGAAAGCCUGACGCAGCGACGCCGCGUGAGGGAUGACGGCCU
rnacentral:rRNA from 1 species